CCUACGGGAGGCAGCAGUGGGGAAUAUUGCACAAUGGGGGAAACCCUGAUGCAGCGACGCCGCGUGAGUGAAGAAGUAUUUCUGUAUGUAAAGCUCUAUCAGCAGGGAAGAAGAAAGACGGUACCUGACUAAGAAGCCCCGGCUAACUACGUGCCAACAGCCGCGGUAAUAGGUAGGGGGCAAGCGUUAUCCGGAUUUACUGGGUUUAAAGGGAGCGUAGACGGCUGUGCAAGUCUGAGGUGAAAGCCCAGGGCUCAACCCUGGGACUGCUUUGGAAACUGUGGAGCUAGAGUGCUGGAGAGGUAAGUGGAAUUCCUAGUGUAGCGGUGAAAUGCGUAGAUAUUAGGAGGAACACCAGUGGCGAAGGCGGCUUACUGGACAGUAACUGACGUUGAGGCUCGAAAGCGUGGGGAGCAAACAGGAUUAGAUACCCUUGUAGUC
rnacentral:rRNA from 1 species